UAAAAACAAACAAAUAAGAUUUCCUAUGCCUUGGAGAAACCAACCCUUCGCCUUCUCAGAUCUCCGAUCGACGAUUUCCUCUAAUCGCUGGUUCCUCUGUCUUUCUCCGAGCGCUCUUCUUCUCUCUCACUCGGCCUCGCGCUGGUCCAUGCCCUCUUCUCUCUCAUGAUUUGUCAGAAAUCCUAAUAAGUUUUGUCCUUGAUUUGCUUUAUUUGAUUGGGGAUCUUUGGGAAUUGGUGUAAUGUGUGAAGGUUCUUGUUGGUGAUUAUCGGGCUGUUUGUAUUCCGCUUGUUGAGGUUGUGGCCAUCAAGAUAUUUGAUUCUGAGAGGAAUAAUAGUGAUUUGAUUUCUGAAAGAGUUGUAAACCUGGAAGCACUGCAAAAGAUCGCUGGUAGUGGUCAGCUUGAUUGGAGAGUCUGAGCUCUAGUCUGGAAGUUAAAAGUGAUGAGUGAUAGAAAUAGAGAAUGGAUGGCUCUCCCAAGAGCUAGUGCGGAAUAUAUCAGUGGAGUUGAUGGUUUUUUUGAUAUGGCAUUUCAAAGGACCGCGGAAGGACAAGAAAUACUUUGCCCGUGUAAAAAGUGUUUGAACCGUAAUUGGUAUUAUAGAGCAACAGUUAGAGAUCACUUGAUAGUUUAUGGUUUUGUAGAAGACUAUACUGAAUGGGUAUUCCAUGGAGAAGGAUUGCCAAUGUAUUCUGAAUGAUUACCAUCACAUAAUGAAGGACUUGGCCCUGUGGAUGACAUGGAUGGCAUGCUGCAAGAUAUAUAUAGAGAUGUAGCAAUUUAGAGAUGUAGCAAUUGAAGAGUAAAACCUUCCAAGAAUUUGUGAAGGUCCAAAUACAGAGGUAAAGAAAUUUUACAAGUUAAUGGAGGAAGGCCGAAGGAGCUUUAUCCAGGGUGCAAGAGUUUCUCAAGCCUUUCUUUCAUCGUUCGAUAUAUAUACAUAUCAAAGGCCUCGGAAUUUUCCAAUUGGUGCCAUCAUUACAUGGAAACAUUUUUUGGAAUAAAUUAGAAGUUUUUUCA